ACAUACGACCAUAGAGGACAGAGAAAACUGGGUCCCGUCUGCUCCCCAAAAGUCAAGCUGUCCAUCGGCAGAUUAGUAGUUGGCUCGGUGACGUCCAGCGAACACCGGCUGUUGUAUGUU
rfam:Cordyceps militaris CM01 unplaced genomic scaffold CCM_S00005, whole genome shotgun sequence.